rnacentral:sRNA from 1 species
AUUACAGCCCAGGAAUGAGGCCUGAACAGAAGGAGGCUCUGGCAAAGCGACUGCUGGCCCCUGAACUGUUUGGGGAAGUGCCUGCCUGGCCCCAGGAGCUGCUGUGGGCAGUGCUGCCCCUGCUCCCCCACCUCCCUCUGGAGAACUUUCUGCAGCUCAGCCCUCACCAGAUCCAGGCCCUGGAGGAUAGCUGGCCAGCAGUAGGUCUGGGGCCAGGGCAUGCCCGCCAUGUGCUGCGCAGCCUGGUAAACCAGAGUGUCCAGGAUGGUGAGGAGCAGGUACGCAGGUGGCAUAUGAACUUCUGGGUGUGUUGCGCUCAUCUGGAGGAGCAGUGCUGAGCCCCCGGGAGCUGCGGGUCUGGGCCCCUCUCUUCCCUCAGCUGGGCCUCCACUUCCUGCAGGAGCUGUCAGAGCCCCAGCUUAGAGCCAUGCUUCCUGUCCUGCAGGGAACUAGUGUUACACCUGCUCAGGCUGUCCUGCUGCUUGGACGGCUCCUUCCUAGGCACGAUCUAUCCCUGGAGGAACUCUGCUCCUUGCACCUUCUGCUACCAGGCCUCAGCCCCCAGACACUCCAGGCCAUCCCUAGGCGAGUCCUGGUCGGGGCUUGUUCCUGCCUGGCCCCUGAACUGUCACGCCUCUCAGCCUGCCAGACCGCAGCACUGCUGCAGACCUUUCGGGUAUGAGAGUGGCAAGGAGGAUGAGAUAAUCAGGGAUACCGGCUCUUUCUGGUUGGGAGGAGGGCAUCUUCCCUGAGGCCAGGGAAGGCCUUUCAUACCUCCCCACUUACACACACACACACACACAACCAAUUUUCAUGCAGGUUAAAGAUGGUGUUAAAAAUAUGGGUACAACAGGUGCUGGUCCAGCUGUGUGUAUCCCUGGUCAGGUAAGUGUGAGAUCUCCCAACUGAGCUCCUCUCCCCAUUCUGGGCAGUUUCAUAUGGCUGGUGCUAACUCCCACACUACCCUGCAGUGGCCCUGAGAGUUCCGGUUAGCUCUGUGCCUAUUAGCAGCCCUCCCCAGUGCCAGAUACAGGACAGCAUGAUCCACUCACAUUGUCCUAAACUAAUGUCAAAGCUGGAAGGGCCUGAGAAAUCUUCCAGGCCACCCACCCUGCUUUCAGAUGAAAAGACCAAGGCUGAGAGAAGCUAAGGGACUUUGUUCGCCUGGUGCCUAACUAGCAGCAACACUUGACCACAGCAGCCUGCAGUGUGAGGCUUUUAGGCGUUUAUUGCUACAGUGGCAAAUGCCAUUCCACUUCUGUCCUAGCUUUGGUCCCUUUCCACCCCCAUGAUUCCUUUUCUCUGAGUGCUAAGUCCAGACUCUUUCACCUAUCACUACACUGCUAUACCCAUCGCCGCCAGCAGCCUAUUCCCACCACCUGGCCAGACUGCCUGCUUCCCCUGCUCCCAUUAAAGCUGUUACAACUGGAUUCCUCGGCUCUUCUGGCAAAUCGAAGACGCUACUGGGAGCUGCCCUGGUCUGAGCAGCAGGUAAUCCUCCCCACUUAAUUUCAGAACUUCCUCCCUCAAUGUAGUCUACCUUCUUUACCUAUCCCUCAGCCCUAUUUGGCCAGCUUAUCCCUAGUAUCCUUUAUUUGAUUGAUUGAGAUAGAGUCUCACACUGUUGCCCAGGCUGGAGUGCAGUGGCAUGAUCAGAAUUUGUUGUAACCUCAAACUCCUGAGUUCAGGCAAUCUUUCUGCCUCAGCCUCCUGAAUAGCUAGGACUACAGGUGGUUACCACCAUGCCUGGCUAAUUUUUAAUUUUUUUUUUUUUGUUUUUUGAGAUGAAGUCUUGCUCUGUCGCCCAGGCUAGAGUACAGUGGCGCGAUCUUGGCUCACUGCAACCUCCAUCUCCCGGGUUCAAGCGAUUCUCCUGCCUCAGCCUCCUGAGUAGCUGGGACUACAGGCACCCCCCACAAUGCCGGGCUAAUUUUUUUUUUUUUUUUUUUUUUAGUAGAGAUGGGGUUUCACCAUAUUGGCCAGGCUGGUCUCAAACUCCUGACCUUGUGAUCUGCCUGCCUCUUCCUCUCAAAGUGCUGGGAUUACAUGUGUGAGCCACCACGCCUGGCCAAUUUUUAAGUUUUUUGUAGAGACAGACAACACAAAAAUGUGGACACUAUGUGGAGACACUAUGUUGAGGUACUAUGCUGUCCAGAUUGGUCUUGAACUCCUGGCCUCAAGCAAUCCUCCUGCCUUGGCCUCCCAAAGUGAUGGGAUUACAGGCCUGAGUCACUGCACCCAGCACCCUAGUAUCCCUUAUAAUGUGACUUGCUUUUCUUUUUCUUUCUCCUUCCCUUUUCUUUCAUUUCUUUCUCACACUCUGAGAGAAGAGUGGGCAUCUAGGAGAGUGGGAGGCUGCUGGGUCCCACAGAGUGAAGAGGCAGGACUGGGUCCAAGGCAGUCCUGCCUCUCCACUCUAGGGGGUAUCCUUGGACAGUGUCUCUUCUGGGAAGUGGCUCGUCUUUCUUUCUCUUGUAGGCACAGUUUCUCUGGAAGAAGAUGCAAGUACCCACCAACCUGACCCUCAGGAAUCUGCAGGCUCUGGGCACCCUGGCAGGAGGCAUGUCCUGUGAGUUUCUGCAGCAGAUCAACUCCAUGGUAGACUUCCUUGAAGUGGUGCACAUGAUCUAUCAACUGCCCACCAGAGUUCGAGGGAGCCUGAGGGCCUGUAUCUGGGCAGAGCUACAGCGUAGGAUGGCAAUGCCAGAACCAGAAUGGACAACUCUAGGGCCAGAACUGAAUGGGCUGGAUAGCAAGCUACUCCUGGACUUACCGCUCCAAAGGAGACUCCAGUCUCAGGGGAAGUGCUGGAGACCUUAGGCCCUUUGGUUGGAUUCCUGGGGAUAGAGAGCACACGACAGAUCCCCCUACAGAUCCUGCUGUCCCAUCUCAGUCAGCUGCAAGGCUUCUGCCUAGGAGAGACAUUUACCACAGAGCUGGGAUGGCUGCUAUUGCAGGAGUCUGUUCUUGGGAAACCAGAGUUGUGGAGCCAGGAUGAAGUAGAGCAAGCUGGACGCCUAGUAUUCACUCUGUCUACUGAGGCAAUUUCCUUGAUCCCCAGGGAGGCCUUGGGUCCAGAGACCCUGGAGCGGCUUCUAGAAAAGCAGCAGAGCUGGGAGCAGAGCAGAGUUGGACAGCUGUGUAGGGGGCCACAGCUUGCUGCCAAGAAAGCAGCCCUGGUAGCAGGGGUGGUGCGACCAGCUGCUGAGGAUCUUCCAGAACCUGUACCAAAUUGUGCAGAUGUACGAGGGACAUUCCCAGCAGCCUGGUCUGCAACCCAGAUUGCAGAGAUGGAGCUCUCAGACUUUGAGGACUGCCUGACAUUAUUUGCAGGAGACCCAGGACUCGGGCCUGAGGAACUGCGGGCAGCCAUGGGCAAAGCAAAACAGUUGUGGGGUCCCCCCCGGGGAUUUCGUCUUGAGCAGAUCCUGCAGCUCGGUAGGCUCUUAAUAGGUCUAGGAGAUCGGGAACUACAGGAGCUGAUCCUAGUGGACUGGGGAGUGCUGAGCACCCUGGGGCAGAUAGAUGGCUGGAGCUCCACUCAGCUCCGCAUUGUGGUCUCCAGUUUCCUACGGCAGAGUGGUCGGCAUGUGAGCCACCUGGACUUCAUUCAUCUGACAGCGCUGGGUUAUACUCUCUGUGGACUGCGGCCAGAGGAGCUCCAACACAUCAGCAGUUGGGAGUUUAGCCAAGCAGCUCUCUUCCUGGGCACCCUGCAUCUCCAGUGCUCUGAGGAACAACUGGAGGUUCUGGCCCACCUCCUUGUACUGCCUGGUGGGUUUGGCCCAGUCAGUAACUGGGGGCCUGAGAUCUUCACUGAAAUUGGCACCAUAGCAGCUGGGAUCCCAGACCUGGCUCUUUCAGCACUGCUGCGGGGACAGAUCCAGGGCAUUACUCCUCUUGCCAUUUCUGUCAUCCCUCCUCCUAAAUUUGCUGUGGUGUUUAGUCCCACCCAACUAUCUAGUCUCACCAGUGCUCAGGCUGUGGCUGUCACUCCUGAGCAAAUGGCCUUUCUGAGUCCUGAGCAGCGACGAGCAGUUGCAUGGGCCCAACAUGAGGGGAAGGAGAGCCCAGAACAGCAAGGUCGAAGUACAGCCUGGGGCCUCCAGGACUGGUCACGACCUUCCUGGUCCCUGGUAUUGACUAUCAGCUUCCUUGGCCACCUGCUAUGAGCCUGUCUCUACAGUAGAAGGAGAUUGUGGGGAGAGAAAUCUUAAGUCAUAAUGAAUCAAGUGCAAACAG